rnacentral:rRNA from 1 species
GGAUACGGUCAUACCAGCACUAAAGCACCGUAUCCCAUCAGAACUCCGAACUUAAGAGUGCUUGGGCGAGAGUAGUACGAGGAUGGGUGACCUCCUGGGAAGUCCUCGUGUUGCAUUUU